ACUGCUGGAUCACUCAACAAGUACUUAAAAAAUGUCCUGACCAUUAUUUCCUGCUCUUCUCCUCAGACUUUGCUGAAAACUUUGAUUUGAUAGAGGCCACACAAUUGCCCAGUGCUGCAUCUUCCUGACAGUCUUGUCUCUGAUUCUGGAUGCACAUCUGAGCACCGUGUCUGGAAGUUCUGAGGCUCUUUAUAACCCUGAGAACCUAGAGAAUAAAGGAAGGAAACAACAUAUAUUUCUCGAAUGAAGUGGCUAAACAGCACUUAUGGAUAUCCCAGGCAAAUAUAUUGACCCAGAAAAAAGAAAGCAAGACCUCUGAGUGAUGUAAAUAAUCUCAUAUGUAGAAAUAUAUGUAUUUUUUAGUUACAUACUUAAGUCACCAUGUUAA